UCGGUAUAAUUUUCUGUCAUAAAUUUCAAAUAUGUUCCAUUAGACAUGUCAGUCAAAAUUUCUGUUUAGUAAAACUUUACAAAAAUAAAAUUAUUUAACAAAAAAAUAUUGUAAAUUCCCCAAGGAAAUCGAUAAGGGCUGACGAACGAAAAAAUGAACGAACCAAAUUCAAAUAAUCAGAGUUAGAGAGGGAAGACUGUUAUUACUGUAGAACACCGUAUAAUGUCAGUUUGGUAUUGGUUUAUGGUGGCUUUGGUGGUGGCCGCGGAGCUGGUUCAGGUCGCCUUAGGCUGCAGUAAGAAGAUUGUGUGUGGCCCAAAGAAUCCACCUUGCAAGGCGAAUUGACCACAAGCUGUCGUCAGGUGAUGGAAACAGAACUCGUGCAAGAAGUUGUGGUGCUUCUGUUUACGUUACUACUCUCGUACAUCGAGUCCUGUUUCGCUUGCAGUUCUACCAAGUACAUCACGUGCAACGAAGACCCCAAUUGCAAGAAAGAGAAACCAAAGAAGUGACGGUGACUUCCUUUUCUACAUUUAUCACUUUCUAAUCACAAUGAUUAUACUCAACGAAUUCGUUCUCCUGUUCCUGCAUAUAGCAGUCUCUAUAUACAACAUAAAUAUUUCCAAAGGAAAACCAAAAAUAAUAAGUAGUCGUCACCGUUAUCCGCUGACCAAAAUAAUUUGCAAUGAACAAGCCGUCGAAAAACUGUUUUGAAACAAUAAAGUUCUAAACUUUCUCAGUCAACGUUUUUGAAAGCAAAAGCAUGCGUCUCAGACGUUUUCUCUUAAUCUUCUUCUUGAUCGCGCUGACCAUUCUCCACGCUGUGAUUGCCUGCAAAAGUAAAUGCUGCAGGGGCAAAGGUAAAAGUGGUAGAGGCAAAGGUAAAAGUGGCAAGCCCAUGAAAGAGCCCCUCCGUCCGAAUGAUCCCACACAAUGCGAGUCCAAAGCGUGCCCUAUCUACAAACACACGUGUGCACUGAAGCCUGACCAGAGAGUAAGAGUUAUCAUGACACCGCGCGAAUUGUAAGGGAAAUACAAGAAAUCGUGGCUUUUGAAAAUAUCUACAGAACUACAAAAUAUUAAUGGAUUCAAAUUCCCAAUGUAAUCACAAAUCAAAUUGCAAAUAUUUUCGAGAAGACUAUUGGCCGAUAUGAAAUUAAUAAUUCAAAUUAUAUUUCGGAUUUUAUAUUAAUUAUUUAGAAUUUUUCACCAAUCAAAAUGCUGACACAACUGAUCGUGUUCCUGCUGCAACUGAUGGAGCUCGUGGCACAAGCGGCCUGUUGCGGCAUCAAGAGACGAAUUCCGGAGCACCUCAAACCUUGCGUUUACAAGGAGCCUAUCAUUGAAGCUAUGUGGCCUAAAAAGCCAAAAACUUCGUUCUCGUAAAAUUUUAUUCUACAAUUUGCAGUGCAGUCAAUAAUAAAGUUUUGACAACAGUGAGAAUGUGGAAGAAACUCUUAUUGUUGUUUUUCCAAAUCAUUGGGCUGGCCGUGCAGGUUCAGUGUUGCAGACACCGAUUGUCACAGCAAGCGCCUUGCCCUUACCACGGACCUAUCAUUGAAAUUAUUUACGAUAAGAAAAAGAAGCGCAUUUUCCAACCGUAACGACUGUUUUGAAAUCAGUUUAAUAUGGUUUCCUUUUGGUAAACAAUAAAAAUGUUUUAGAUAUA